rnacentral:rRNA from 1 species
AGAGUUUGAUCCUGGCUCAGGACGAACGCUGGCGGCGCGCUUAACACAUGCAAGUCGAGCGAUGAAACCUUAACAGAACCCUUCGGGGCGAAGAUAAGAUGGAUUAGCGGCGGACGGGUGAGUAACACGUGAGUAACCUGCCUUAGACAUUGGGAUAGCCUCGGGAAACCGGGAUUAAUACCAAAUGAAAUCACAUAUGCACAUGCAUAAAUGAUCAAAGCUCCGGCGGUCUAAGAUGGACUCGCGUCCCAUUAGCUAGUUGGUGAGGUAACGGCCCACCAAGGCGACGAUGGGUAGCCGGCCUGAGAGGGUGAACGGCCACAUUGGAACUGAGAAACGGUCCAAACUCCUACGGGAGGCAGCAGUGGGGAAUAUUGCACAAUGGAGGGAACUCUGAUGCAGCGACGCCGCGUGAACGAAGAAGGCUUUCGAGUCGUAAAGUUCUUUUAUAUGGGAAGAUAAUGACGGUACCAUAAGAAAAAGCCCCGGCUAACUACGUGCCAGCAGCCGCGGUAAUACGUAGGGGGCUAGCGUUGUCCGGAAUCACUGGGCGUAAAGGGUUCGCAGGCGGAAAUGCAAGUCAGGUGUAAAAGGCAGUAGCUUAACUACUGUAAGCAUUUGAAACUGCAUAUCUUGAGAAGAGUAGAGGUAAGUGGAAUUUUUAGUGUAGCGGUGAAAUGCGUAGAUAUUAAAAAGAAUACCGGUGGCGAAGGCGACUUACUGGGCUCAUUCUGACGCUGAGGAACGAAAGCGUGGGUAGCAAACAGGAUUAGAUACCCUGGUAGUCCACGCUGUAAACGAUGAGUGCUAGGUAUCGGAAUAAUUCGGUGCCGCAGUUAACACAUUAAGCACUCCGCCUGGGGAGUACGUGCGCAAGCAUGAAACUCAAAGGAAUUGACGGGGACCCGCACAAGCAGCGGAGCAUGUGGUUUAAUUCGAAGCAACGCGAAGAACCUUACCUAGACUUGACAUCUCCUGAAUUACUCUGUAAUGGAGGAAGCCACUUCGGUGGCAGGAAGACAGGUGGUGCAUGGUUGUCGUCAGCUCGUGUCGUGAGAUGUUGGGUUAA